GGGGGGGGGGGGGGGGGGGGGGGGGGGGGGGGGGGGGGGGGGGGGGGGGGUGGGGGUGUGGGGGGCUGGGGUGGGGAGGGGGUGAGUAGCGGGGGAGUAAGCUGCCGUGGCGUUUGGGAUAACGGCAGGGAGGUGGGCCGAACACCUGAUAGGAGCUCCUGGUGCAUGGGGGGGGCGGGAAGGGUUCGGCGGGUCGGGAUGGCCUCGCGGGUUAUCAGCUUUGUGGUGGGGUAGGGGCUUACCAAGGAGGUGCCGGGUGGCCGGCCGUAGAGGGUGACCGGCCACCUUGGGACUGAUAUACGGCCCAGACUCCUACGGGAGGCAGCAGUGGGGAAUAUUGCACCAUGGGCGGAAGCCUGAUCCAGCAACGCCGCGUUCGGGAUGACGGCCUUCGGGUUGUAAACCGCUUUCGCCUGUGACGAAGCGUGAGUGACGGUAAUGGGUAAAGAAGCACCGGCUAACUACGUG
rnacentral:rRNA from 1 species